AGGAAACUCACUAGAGUGAGGAAUGGCUCCCCAGAGGAAAGGGCCAGAAGGUUUUCACCAGCGCGGUGAGUGGCGAGGAUUUCAGGAAGAUUGGAAUUGAGGAGGAAGCCAUUUGCCUGCCUACAACCUCCUGUAUCCCCUUGUUGGUGACAGAACAAAAGAUAAAGCAGUCAGCAUUACCUGAAGUGACUUGGAGGUGAUUAAUACUCAGAGCUCCUGGAGCAGAAAGAGCUCUGUAAUCACACAGUCGUGUGCAUCCAUCCCCAGCUGUCAACAGGAUCUUCUGAGUAAAACACAGCUAAAUAAAUCUCUGCAAUGAGGAAGGACCGCAAUCAAAGCUACCUUCCAUUAGAGCUACCUGCCAAAUUUUGGAUGGCAGCACCCCAAGAUGAAAGGAGCUUGGAUCCCCAAGUCAUUAUUUGGAGGAGAGCCUCUGCAAAGAACUGCCUGCUGUGCACUGGACUGUGAGACUCUGAGCCUCCUUGACGGGAAAGAUUUUCCUUCUGGACCUCCAUCUCCCUGGUGAAAGAAAGGUGGCACAUGGCAAAUCUUCAACAAACGUUGGCUGUUUGAAUGGAUUGGUGAAGGAUGAAUGGAUAAAUGAAGUGCAGAUCCCUUGCAAUUGGAGUCUGUGUUAGGGUCUGUGUUAUACCUCCUGUAUCCUUGGUACCUGGCACUGUUCCUUGAACAGAGUUUUUAAACCCGUGGAUGCUCUUUCAGCAUGGAAGUCACUGGAAUCAGUAUUUAGGGGAAGAGUUAUGAGUUGUUCUUUAUUUCUCUAUUAGUUAUAACCAGCUUACUUCCACAAAGAGCUUAAAGAAAAAGAACAUUAAGACUAGGACUUUUUCUCAAACAUCUUACAGAUUACAGGAUUGUUCUUUUGAACUCUGAAAAAUAAGCUGGUUUUGCUGUCAACUUUAUGAUUGGGUCAGAAGUCAUCAGUGCUUUAACAACAGAAUCUUGGGUGUGGUGUUUCCAUGAUUUCACCCAGGCAUGUUCCCAGCAUGAACAUAAGGGAGGGAACACAUGAUUAAAUAACGGUUUUUAACAUCUUGUCACAACUACAUGUUUAGCCGGACUCUCAAUAAAA
rnacentral:lncRNA from 10 species